rnacentral:rRNA from 1 species
CUAAAUACUCCUCAGCGACCGAUAGUGAACCAGUACCGUGAGGGAAAGGUGAAAAGUACCCCGGGAGGGGAGUGAAAUAGUACCUGAAACCGUUUGCCUACAAGCAGUGGGAGCUUCUUCGGAAGUGACCGCGUGCCUUUUGCAUAAUGAGUCAGCGAGUUACUCUCUGUGGCAAGGUUAAGCCGAAUGAGGUGGAGCCGUAGCGAAAGCGAGUCCGAACAGGGCGAAUGAGUUGCAGGGAGUAGACCCGAAACCAGGUGAUCUAUCCAUGGCCAGGGUGAAGUCUCGGUAACACGAGAUGGAGGCCCGAACCGAAGAAGGUUGAAAACUUCUCGGAUGAGCUGUGGAUAGGAGUGAAAGGCUAAUCAAACCUGGAAAUAGCUGGUUCUCCCCGAAAUGCAUUGAGGUGCAGCCUCGAGGUAAGAAUGAGGGAGGUAGAGCACUGGAUGGGCUAGGGGUCUUACCGGAUUACCAAACCCAACCAAACUCCGAAUGCCGUCAUAUCGUCCUCGGGAGUGAGACUGCGGGAGAUAAGUUUCGUAGUCGAGAGGGAAAGAGCCCAGAUCGCCAGCUAAGGUCCCAAAAUAAAGGCUAAGUGGUAAAGGAUGUGGGGGCGCAUAAACAACCAGGAGGUUGGCUUAGAAGCAGCCAUCCUUUAAAGAAAGCGUAAUAGCUCACUGGUCUAGUGCGCCUGCGCCGAAAAUGUAACGGGGCUAAGCCUUUUACCGAAGCUGCGGCAGGAUCUUCGGAUCUUGGGUAGGGGAGCNUUGUACAGACCUGCGAAGGUGUUCCGCGAGGGAUGCUGGAGGGAGUACAAGAGAUUAUGCUGACAUGAGUAACGAUAAAGCGGGUGAGAAUCCCGCUCGCCGUAAGCCUAAGGUUUCCUGGGUAAAGGUCGUCUGCCCAGGGUUAGUCGGUCCCUAAGCUGAGGCCGUCAGGCGUAGGUGAUGGGAAACAGGUUAAUAUUCCUGUACCACCGAGCGAGCGUUUGAGUGAUGGGGGGACGCAGAAGGGUAGGCCAUCCGGGUGUUGGAUGUCCCGGUACAAGCCCGUAGGCGGAGGGUCCAGGCAAAUCCGGAUCCUUGUCAACGCCGAGAGGUGAUGUGGAAGGGGGUAACCCCGCAAACUGGUUGAUCCCAAGCUGCCAAGAAAAGCCUCUAGCGAGUUCGCUAGGUGACCGUACCGCAAACCGACACAGGUAGGCGAGGAGAGAAUCCUCAGGCGCGUGAGAGAACGCUGGUUAAGGAACUCGGCAAAAUAACACCGUAACUUCGGGAGAAGGUGUGCCCUCAUAAGGUGAAGAUACUUGCUAUUGGAGCCGAAGGGGGUUGCAGAGAAGAGGCGGUAGCGACUGUUUACUAAAAACACAGGACUCUGCUAAGUCGCAAGACGACGUAUAGGGUCUGACGCCUGCCCGGUGCUGGAAGGUUAAGGGGAGAUGUUAUUCGCAAGGAGAAGCAUUGAACCGAAGCCCCAGUAAACGGCGGCCGUAACUAUAACGGUCCUAAGGUAGCGAAAUUCCUUGUCGGGUAAGUUCCGACCUGCACGAAUGGCCUUGUCGGGUAAGUUCCGACCUGCACGAAUGGCGUAACGACUUCCGCACUGUCUCAACCAGUGACUCAGUGAAAUUGCAGUCUCGGUGCAGAUACCGAGUACCCGCGGCUAGACGGAAAGACCCCGUGCACCUUUACUACAGCUUGGCAUUGGAUUUUGGGCGUGUAUGUGUAGGAUAGGUGGGAGGCUAUGAAGUGGGGGCGCCAGCUUUCAUGGAGCCAACGUUGAAAUACCACCCUUAUGCGUUUAGAGUUCUAACCUUGAGAAGUUAUCCUUCUUGGGGACAGUGCCUGGUGGGUAGUUUGACUGGGGCGG